UAACAAGUAUAAGAAAGCCUUUAGUAUGA
rnacentral:piRNA from 1 species